UGGGAAAAAGGAUUGUCC
rnacentral:piRNA from 1 species